rnacentral:rRNA from 1 species
UCGCAUCUUUCCCUUCGGGGACAGAAGUGACAGGUGGUGCAUGGUUGUCGUCAGCUCGUGUCGUGAGAUGUUGGGUUAAGUCCCGCAACGAGCGCAACCCUUGCCUUUAUUGCCAGCAUUAAGUUGGGCACUCUAGAGGGACUGCCAGGGAUAACCUGGAGGAAGGUGGGGAUGACGUCAAAUCAUCAUGCCCCUUAUGCUUAGGGCUACACACGUGCUACAAUGGGUGGUACAGAGGGCAGCCAAGUCGUGAGGCCGAGCUAAUCCCUUAAAGCCAUUCUCAGUUCGGAUUGUAGGCUGAAACUCGCCUACAUGAAGCUGGAGUUACUAGUAAUCGCAGAUCAGAAUGCUGCGGUGAAUGCGUUCCCGGGUCUUGUACACA